UACGUAGGGUGCGAGCGUUAAUCGGAUUUACUGGGCGUAAAGCGUGCGCAGGUGGUUUAAUAAGUCUGAUGUAAAAGGCAGUGGCUCAACCAUUGUGUGCAUUGGAAACUGUUAGACUUGAGUGCAGUAGAGGAGAGUGGAAUUCCAUGUGUAGCGGUGAAAUGCGUAGAUAUCGGGAGGAAGGCCGGUGGCGAAGGCGGCCCUCUGGGCCUGCACUGACACUGAGGCGCGAAAGCGUGGGGAGCAAACAGG
rnacentral:rRNA from 1 species